rnacentral:rRNA from 1 species
UACGGAGGGUGCGAGCGUUGUCCGGAAUCACUGGGCGUAAAGGGCGCGUAGGCGGCGCGGAAAGUCAACGGUGAAAGCUUGGGGCUCAACCCCGAGUCGGCCGUCGAUACUUCCGUGCUCGAGCACUGUAGAGGCAGAUGGAAUUCCGGGUGUAGCGGUGGAAUGCGUAGAGAUCCGGAAGAACACCGGUGGCGAAGGCGGUCUGCUGGGCAGUUGCUGACGCUGAUGCGCGACAGCGUGGGGAGCAAACAGG